AGAGUUUGAUCAUGGCUCAGAACGUACGCUGGCGGCACGCCUAACACAUGCAAGUCGAACGAAGUAGCAAUACUUAGUGGCAGACGGGUGAGUAACAUGUAGGUAUCUGCCCUUUGGCCUGGAAUAACACGAGGAAACUUGUGCUAAUACCGGAUAAGUCUUUACGGAGAAAGCUUUAUGCACCAUUGGAUGAGCCUGCACUUGAUUAGUUUGUUGGCGGGGUAAUGGCCUACCAAGACUGUGAUCAAUAGCUGAUUUGAGAGGAUGAUCAGCCACAUUGGGACUGAGACACGGCCCAAACUCCUACGGGAGGCAGCAGUGGGGAAUCUUGCACAAUGGAGGAAACUCUGAUGCAGCGAUGCCGCGUGAGUGAAGAAGGCCCUUGGGUUGUAAAGCUCUUUCGUCGGGGAAGAAAAUGACUGUACCCGAAUAAGAAGGUCCGGCUAACUUCGUGCCAGCAGCCGCGGUAAUACGAAGGGACCUAGCGUAGUUCGGAAUUACUGGGCUUAAAGAGUUCGUAGGUGGUUGAAAAAGUUAGUGGUGAAAUCCCAGAGCUUAACUCUGGAACUGCCAUUAAAACUUUUCAGCUAGAGUAUGAUAGAGGAAAGCAGAAUUUCUAGUGUAGAGGUGAAAUUCGUAGAUAUUAGAAAGAAUACCAAUUGCGAAGGCAGCUUUCUGGAUCAUUACUGACACUGAGGAACGAAAGCAUGGGUAGCGAAGAGGAUUAGAUACCCUCGUAGUCCAUGCCGUAAACGAUGUGUGUUAGACGUUGGAAAUUUAUUUUCAGUGUCGCAGGGAAACCGAUAAACACACCGCCUGGGGAGUACGACCGCAAGGUUAAAACUCAAAUGAAUUGACGGGGACCCGCACAAGUAGUGGAGCAUGUGGUUUAAUUCGAAGAUACGCGCAGAACCUUACCAACACUUGACAUGUUCGUCGCGACUCUAAGAGAUUAGAGUUUUCGGUUCGGCCGGACGAAACACAGGUGCUGCAUGGCUGUCGUCAGCUCGUGUCGUGAGAUGUUGGGUUAAGUCCCGCAACGAGCGCAACCCUCACUUUUAGUUGCCAUCAUUAAGUUGGGCACUCUGAAAGAACUGCCAGUGAUAAGCUGGAGGAAGGUGGGGAUGACGUCAAGUCCUCAUGGCCCUUACGUGUUGGGCUACACACGUGCUACAAUGGUAUCUACAACAGGAAGCAAGACUGCGAAGUUAAGCAAAUCCCUAAAAGAUACCUCAGUUCGGAUUGCACUCUGCAACUCGAGUGCAUGAAGCUGGAAUUACUAGUAAUCGUGGAUCAGCGUGCCACGGUGAAUGCGUUCCCGGGUCUUGUACACACCGCCCGUCACACCAUGGGAGUUGGUUCUACCUUAAGGCAAGGUUUCAAACCCUUGACCACGGUAUAGUCAGCGACUGGGGUGAAGUCGUAACAAGGUA
rnacentral:rRNA from 1 species